UGGGGAUAAUCAAGAAAAGGAUAUGAAGUUUGUUUUAUUAAUAGGUGAGGUGAGUUUUGGAAAAGGAGAUGAAGAAAGUAUAUUAUUUUUAUGUUGUUGGCCUUAGAGGGGGAAUCUUACCUCCCCUACCAGUUUCCAAGUUUUAAGGAGGACCAGAGAUCAUCACGGUCCUUCUGCCCCGAUUUAUGCCUUAUUCCAAAUUACUCUCUUAGGGUCUCGGUCCCAUCUUACCACACUCAAGUUAUGAUUUUAAUGGACUGGAGUUUUGACUAUGUGGGCUCGUAACCGUGAGCCUCGGCUAUCCAGAUAGAUUUAUGACUCUACGCAGAGGUGUACACUUUACCCAUACAUUCGAUCAGCCCAUACCUCAGCUUUAGGCGGUAUUGACCUACGAGACCUGUACCCACCGACGUCUAUCUCUAGACAACAUUCCCUAGCUCCAUCCACGGGUACGGCUCGGGUCUAAAUAGGGGCCAUACUAUGUCAACAUUUGGACACUAUCCCGGGAAAUAGAUGCAUCAUACCGUGGCAUACAAUGCCACCAGAUCCUUUUGACCUCAACCUAUGAUCUGUGCCGACCAGACCUGGGACUCUGUAAGGUCCUGCUCCAGUCUACCUAUCGUCCAUUGUGGCCCCUUGGGAUUGUUUACUAGGUUCUGCUGGUGGGGCGUGAAUCAAGACCUCACAUCAUUAGGCACUCCCGAAGGUUGUACCUUUUUGGCACGUAUGGUUCCACAUUUCACUAGAAAGACUUUCCCACAAGCCGGUCCUUAUGUGACUGGAGUAAGCUUUUGGGACAAGAUCCUCUACUGAGGCUGCCCCCUAC
rnacentral:lncRNA from 1 species